rnacentral:rRNA from 1 species
GACGAACGCUGGCGGCGCGCUUAACACAUGCAAGUCGAGCGAGAACCAGGGCUUCGGUCCUGGGGACAGCGGCGAACGGGUGAGUAACACGUGGAUAACCUGCCCUCGGCACCGGGAUAGCCCGGGGAAACCCGGAUUAAUACCGGAUGGCCCUUCCGGCUCACGAGCCGGUCGGAAAAGGUAGCUUCGGCCUCCGGCCGAGGAUGGGUCCGCGGCGGAUUAGCUUGUUGGUGGGGGAACGGCCUACCAAGGCUCCGAUCCGUAGCUGGUCUGAGAGGACGAUCAGCCACACUGGGACUGAGACACGGCCCAGACUCCUACGGGAGGCAGCAGUGGGGAAUCUUGCGCAAUGGGCGAAAGCCUGACGCAGCGACGCCGCGUGAGGGAGGAAGGCCUUCGGGUUGUAAACCUCUUUCAGGAGGGACGAAGCUACUCGGGUGAAUAGCCCAGAGGGUGACGGUACCUCCAGAAGAAGCCCCGGCUAACUACGUGCCAGCCGCCGCUGUAACAC